rnacentral:tRNA from 1 species
GCCCCCGUAGUUCAACGGAUAGAACAGGCCCGUCCUAAGGGUCUGAUGUCAGUUCAAUUCUGGCCGGGGGCACAA